UACGUAGGGGGCAAGCGUUAUCCGGAAUCAUUGGGCGUAAAGCGCGUGUAGGCGGUUCCGUAAGUCCGCUCUGAAAGCCCAGGGCUCAACCCUGGGAGGCGGGUGGAUACUACGGAACUGGAGUACGGAAGAGGAGAUUGGAAUUCCUGGUGUAGCGGUGAAAUGCGCAGAUAUCAGGAGGAACACCAACAGCGAAGGCAGAUCUCUGGGACGUUACUGACGCUGAGACGCGAAAGCAUGGGGAGCGAACAAG
rnacentral:rRNA from 1 species